rnacentral:rRNA from 1 species
CGGGGUGCACCAGGCGCGAAAACUCUACAAUGCAGGCAACUGCGAUAGGGGGACAUCGAGUGGCAUCCACCUUGGGUGCCUGUCCCACCGUCUAAAAAACGGUGGUUAGCAAGGGCCGGGCAAGACCGGUGCCAGCCGCCGCGGUAAUACCGGCGGCUCGAGUGGUGGCCGAUAUUAUUGAGUCUAAAGGGUCCGUAGCCGGCUUCGCAAGUCCCCCGGGAAAUCCAGCGGCUUAACCGUUGGGCGCCCGUGGGAUACUGCGUUGCUUGGGACUGGGAGAGGUAGGAGGUACUCGAGGGGUAGGGGUGAAAUCCUGUAAUCCUUCGGGGACCACCGGUGGCGAAGGCGUCCUACCAGAACAGGUCCGACGGUGAGGGACGAAAGCUAGGGGCACGAACCGGAUUAGAUACCCGGGUAGUCCUAGCCGUAAACGAUGCCCGCUAGGUGUCACGGCGGUCGUGAAUCGCCGUGGUGCCGUAGGGAAGCCGCGAAGCGGGCCACUUGGGAAGUACGGCCGCAAGGCUGAAACUUAAAGGAAUUGGCGGGGGAGCACAAGGGCGAUUGCGG